rnacentral:rRNA from 1 species
CCUACGGGAGGCAGCAGUAGGGAAUUUUCGUCAAUGGGCGCAAGCCUGAACGAGCAAUGCCGCGUGAACGAGUAAGGUCUUCGGAUCGUAAAGUUCUGUUGAAGGGGAAAAAGAGCGGAGAGAGGAACUGAACUCCGAUUGAUAUUACCCUUCGAGGAAGUCACGGCUAACUACGUGCAAGCAGCCUCGGUAAUACGUAGGUGGCGAGCGUUAACCGGAUUGAUUGGGCGUAAAGGGUGAGUAGGCGGCCUGCGAAGUCGGGAGUGAAAGGUACGGGCUCAACCGGUACAGGCUCUGGAAACUGGCGGGCUAGAGGGCAGGAGAGGGCGGUGGAACUCCAUGUGUAGCGGUAAAAUGCGUAGAUAUAUGGAAGAACACCAGUGGCGAAGGCGGCCGCCUGGCCUGUUACUGACGCUGAGGCACGAAAGCGUGGGGAGCAAAUAGGAUUAGAUACCCGUGUAGUC